rnacentral:rRNA from 1 species
CUAAUACUGCAAGUCGAGCGAACAGAGAAGGAGCUUGCUCCUUUGACGUUAGCGGCGGACGGGUGAGUAACACGUGGGCAACCUACCUUAUAGUUUGGGAUAACUCCGGGAAACCGGGGCUAAUACCGAAUAAUCUAUUUCCUCUCAUGAGGGAAUACUGAAAGACGGUUUCGGCUGUCACUAUAAGAUGGGCCCGCGGCGCAUUAGCUAGUUGGUGAGGUAACGGCUCACCAAGGCGACGAUGCGUAGCCGACCUGAGAGGGUGAUCGGCCACACUGGGACUGAGACACGGCCCAGACUCCUACGGGAGGCAGCAGUAGGGAAUCUUCCACAAUGGGCGAAAGCCUGAUGGAGCAACGCCGCGUGAGUGAAGAAGGAUUUCGGUUCGUAAAACUCUGUUGUAAGGGAAGAACAAGUACAGUAGUAACUGGCUGUACCUUGACGGUACCUUAUUAGAAAGCCACGGCUAACUACGUGCCAGCAGCCGCGGUAAUACGUAGGUGGCAAGCGUUGUCCGGAAUUAUUGGGCGUAAAGCGCGCGCAGGUGGUUUCUUAAGUCUGAUGUGAAAGCCCACGGCUCAACCGUGGAGGGUCAUUGGAAACUGGGAGACUUGAGUGCAGAAGAGGAUAGUGGAAUUCCAAGUGUAGCGGUGAAAUGCGUAGAGAUUUGGAGGAACACCAGUGGCGAAGGCGACUAUCUGGUCUGUAACUGACACUGAGGCGCGAAAGCGUGGGGGAGCAAACAGGAUUAGAUACCCUGGUAGUCCACGCCGUAAACGAUGAGUGCUAAGUGUUGGGGGGGUUUCCGCCCCUCAGUGCUGCAGCUAACGCAUUAAGCACUCCGCCUGGGGAGUACGGUCGC